GUGGGGAAUAUUGGACAAUGGGCGCAAGCCUGAUCCAGCAAUGCCGCGUGGAUGAAGAAGGUCUUCGGAUUGUAAAGUCCUUUCGGCGGGGACGAUGAUGACGGUACCCGCAGAAGAAGCCCCGGCUAACUUCGUGCCAGCAGCCGCGGUAAUACGAAGGGGGCUAGCGUUGCUCGGAAUGACUGGGCGUAAAGGGCGUGUAGGCGGCUUGGAUAGUCGGGUGUGAAAUUCCUGGGCUCAACCUGGGGGCUGCAUCCGAGACAUCUGGGCUCGAGUGGGGAAGAGGGUCGUGGAAUUCCCAGUGUAGAGGUGAAAUUCGUAGAUAUUGGGAAGAACACCGGUGGCGAAGGCGGCGACCUGGUCCUUGACUGACGCUGAGGCGCGAAAGCGUGGGGAGCAAACAGGAUUAGAAACCCUUGUAGUCC
rnacentral:rRNA from 1 species